GUCGAUAUGUUCGAGUGGUUAAGGAGAUAGACUUGAAAUCUAUUGGGCUUCGCCCGCGCAGGUUCGAACGCAGCUGUCGACG
rfam:Brassica napus, WGS project CCCW01000000 data, contig: 9182